UAAUCAAAAAAAAAUGAAAUUAAAAUAAAACGAAGGACUAAUCUGCCACACGCACAUUACAUGGGGGGCCAAAAUGGAAAUAAUCCCUCUCCCCAAACGGUGCAUUUAAAUAAGGAUCAAAAUGAAACAAAAGCAAAGUGUGCGACCACAUUUAAAAGAAACAAAAACUGAUUUAAAAACGAUUUUAAAACUUGAAGGACCAAAUGCGUAAAUGGACCAUUUAAAGGAAUACACGCGGAUCCUGGAACCGGGUCGGGUCGGCGCGCGGAUCUCCCUAACCAAACGGCGUAAUUUUUGGGCCACUAAAACAGGCCCUAAACGACGUCGUUUUAUGCCUGUAUAAAACCAACAUCUUUUCCUAAAACCAUUCAUUUUUUGCCAUUUUCUUCAAAACAAAAACUGAUGAACCCUAGCUUUCUCUGCUAGGGUUCCAACUUUUAGCCGCCGCCGCCGCUCCAAACCCCGAUCUCGGCCUGGCCUCCGAUUGCGACGGAGACGGCGACGAUCCAACAACUCCGACGAAAAAAGGUAUUGCUUGGAGAAGAAUGCGCGCGACGUGCGUGGAACGGCAGAUGCGACGUGCGGGAGCGAGGGGCGCAAUAUGCGGGGGCGGUUGCAGCUUGCGGCAACUGUUAGUGGCUAGGAAGCUAGGGUUUUUUUUUUUGUUUUAGGCUGAUGGGGCUUGGGUCAAAUGGGAUAUUUGGGCCUUGAUGGGUUUAGGCCUACUAGAAAAAAAACUGGAUGCAUGCUUUGUUUUGUGCGGGCCCGGGCAUUAUUGGGCUUGUACAAUGGGUUUAUCCUUUUUAUACAAUAUUAAGGUGGUAUCAGAUAAUAUAGCUUGAAUCCGUACCUAUUUAUCGCUCUAUUUAUAUUAACACUUUAAUUUUUCUAAGUUACAA